rnacentral:tRNA from 1 species
GCCUCUUUAGCUCAGCCCGGAUAGAGCAUCUGACUACGAAUCAGGGGGUCGCACGUUCAAGUCGUGUGAGAGGCACCA